rnacentral:lncRNA from 1 species
CAGAAUUAUUCCAAAACAUCCAGGAUAGGCAUUGAGUUAUCUGACCAGUUUAAGAUAUAUUUUAAGAAAUAUGUGCAGUUUAAUCAUGUAACUAAACUCAAAACUUUUAUUUCUGUUUUUCAUGUCUAUAUUUUUUUUUGUGACAUAAAUGACCGUAAACUUCACGAGCCAUUAAUUCUUCUUAAAAAUAUGUUCCCGUCCUUCUAAGGUUAUGAAAACUUAUAGGUAUUUGCUGAAAAAUUCCUGCUUUUUACAAGAUGAAGCAACCUGAAGGUCAAUUGGUUUCUAAAUCUUAUUUUGUAGGACCACUAUAUACUGUAAAUUACAAAAUACAACCUGCUUAUCAUAGGUCUAGUACUACUCCCACCGAGGCUGCUAGGCAUUUUCCCAUCAACUCCAGUGGGAGUUCAAUGGGACUAUUAAAAUAAAUUCUAUUCUAUUUUCUUAAUAUUUCUGUCCUCCUUUUAGGUCAGAUCAUCUGCCCUGCAUAAUGAGAAAUUGAAAUACUUACAAAAGUGUAGGAGAGACAUUACUGAUAUUGCAUAAUUUAAAUUCCACAGUCAUCUAAUUUUGUAUUAAAGCUUAAGACAAUGUCAAGUACUUCUUGAAAAAAAAAAGAAAUUUUAACUGUUUGUUUAAAGAUAUUGACAAGCCAAAAAUUUUAUCAUGUCCUCUUGCUGUUUUUCUGUUCUGCAAACAAUAAUUCUUUUUAUGAGUUUCAAAUUAGUUUAAAAUUAAGGUACUUGCAAUAUUUUCUGUACACAUUAAUCGUUUUUAAUUGCAAUAUUGAUGUAGAGAAUACAUUGGCUAUCAUUACCCUUAGCUCAUUUAUAUUCUUAUCUGAAAAAAAAAAGAUGGAAAGACAAGGACUUUCCCUAAUUCCAGUCUACCAGGUUUUAUAUGGCACACCCCAUUCUCUUUCUAGUUGUGCAGGAGUAGCCAGUCACAUUUGUGUUGGGUUCCAUCCACAGUAGGAGGGACACUUUAUGACACAACACAUCCAACACCUGGAUUUGGAUGUGUUGAAUUGUACCUCAGCAAUUCUGCUUUUGCUUCACUGGUUACAAAUGGCACCCAGGUUAUCAGCUUCAGUCUUUCUUGCAUCCCUACUCAAUGUCUGCAGAGUACCAGCUUUUAGACCUAACAGGUCUGAAAUUGUGAAAAACCAUUAUAACUUCUCACAGAAUUCCAGAAACACUAAGAAGCAUAAAGUCUCUGCAGCAGAGAGGACAAACUAACCAAGGAUAGUAGUUACAGACACUUUAAUGACAUAAGUUUCUCCUAACCAGCUGAUAGCAAGAGCAAAUAAACACCUCAGGUUCCCACUGCUUGUUUUAAGA